GUAACUAACAGAAAAAUAAACCAAAAGGUUGAGGCUUUUGAUAACAAUAUUAAAAAUAGGGGUAACGUUCCACCAUCAUUAGUUAAAAAACCCAAAAAAAUAUCCAGUAGGGCCUGUACUUCUUGUAAUUUUUCUUUUUGUUGUUAUAGGAUCAGUCAUAGUCCAAAUUCUUAAUGUUAUACAGAAAAAAGGAUACUUUGAUUAAGAUGCUACCGUUAUUUCCCCCCCUUUUUUUUUUUUUUUUUUUUUUUUUUUUUUUUUUUUUUUUUUUAUAUAUAUUUAUUUUUUAUUGCUCCAUCGUGUUUUAUAAAAAUUGUAUAUGUGUAUAUUUAAAUUGUGACGGUUGUAAUGUUUUAUAUAAUGAACAUAUAUUUAUAAAAUAUUGUUUAUAUUUUAGCUUCAUAAUUUUUUCUAUUUUAUUGUUUCAAGAAAAAUAUGUAUUAUAUUUUAUGUCAUUCUAUUUAUUUAUUUAUUUAUUUACUUAUUUUUUUUUUUUUUGAUGUGAGAGAGAGACAUAAAUUAAGAACGCAGACAUUAUACAAAUUUUUAAAUGUGUUUUAUAUUUUGUAAAAUAAUUAAUAACACUAAAAAAAAAAAAAAAUAAAAAAUAAAAAAGACAAAAUCGCA
rnacentral:lncRNA from 1 species